rnacentral:misc_RNA from 1 species
UGGGCAUUUGAAGUAAAUUUUGCAUUUUUAUCUUCGCCUUCCAAUUUUGCAUUUUUAUCUUUGCUGUCCUCAUAUUUACCACUAGAAGCAACAUUUGCCCCCGCACCUCCCGAAGCAUCUUCUUUUGGGAGAGCCUCGUGACAAGUGGCAUGGUCAAUAGAUGAUUGGUUCUCAAGCUUAAUAUCAAUAAGUUUGGUGCUUGGCCCAGUUGCAAUGGAUAUUGGGACAGUCUCCUUAACUCCUCUUUGUGAAUACGAGGAAGAUUCCAGAGCUUUAUACAACAUGCCAGAUUCAGAUAGCAUCCCAAACCCCCUUUCACUAACUGCAACUAAUGAUGAAACUGUUUCAGGAUUGGCAUCUUUGAAAUGUGAAUCCUCAUCAUUUUCUGAGCUGUCAUUAGAAGCAUAGUCUUGCAGGAGUCUGAA